rnacentral:rRNA from 1 species
AAUAGAUACCCUGGUAGUCCACGCCGUAAACGAUGUCGACUUGGAGGUUGUUCCCUUGAGGAGUGGCUUCCGGAGCUAACGCGUUAAGUCGACCGCCUGGGGAGUACGGCCGCAAGGUUAAAACUCAAAUGAAUUGACGGGGGCCCGCACAAGCGGUGGAGCAUGUGGUUUAAUUCGAUGCAACGCGAAGAACCUUACCUACUCUUGACAUCCAGAGAACUUAGCAGAGAUGCUUUGGUGCCUUCGGGAACUCUGAGACAGGUGCUGCAUGGCUGUCGUCAGCUCGUGUUGUGAAUGUUGGGUUAAGUCCCGCAACGAGCGCAACCCUUAUCCUUUGUUGCCAGCGGUCCGGCCGGGAACUCAAAGGAGACUGCCAGUGAUAAACUGGAGGAAGGUGGGGAUGACGUCAAGUCAUCAUGGCCCUUACGAGUAGGGCUACACACGUGCUACAAUGGCGUAUACAAAGAGAAGCGACCUCGCGAGAGCAAGCGGACCUCAUAAAGUACGUCGUAGUCCGGAUUGGAGUCUGC